rnacentral:lncRNA from 1 species
UUUCAGUUAAGAUUGACCAACCCCUCAUUUCAGAAAAGCAGAGGGUUAAGAGGAGCCAGUGAACUAGAGAGAGACAAAGGUUUCCUUCAGGCCCUUGGAGUUAAGAGUAAAUGGCUGAGAAGACAGUGAGAAUAAGGAAUCUAUCUUCCAGGAAAUGAUAUCAGGAAAUGAUUCCCAAGGCCCUGAGGAGGAAAAUAGAGUUCAAG